AUAAGAGGUCCCGCCUGCCCUGUGACAUAUAAGUUUAACGGCCGCGGUAUUUUGACCGUGCGAAGGUAGCGUAAUCACUUGUCUUUUAAAUGAAGACCUGUAUGAAUGGCAUAACGAGGGCUAAGCUGUCUCCUUUUUCCAGUCAAUGAAAUUGAUCUGCCCGUGCAGAAGCGGGCAUAAGCCCAUAAGACGAGAAGACCCUAUGGAGCUUCAGACACCAGGACAAACCGUGUUAAUAAACCUCAACAAAGAGACCAAACCAAACGGCCCUUGCCCUCCUGUCUUUGGUUGGGGCGACCGCGGGGCAACAAAAAUCCCCCACGUGGAAUAAGGGCACCCCCUUUAAAAAUAGGGUCACAACCCUAAUAAACAGAAAAUCUGACCAACAAUGAUCCGGCACUGCCGAUCAACGGACCCAGUUACCCUAGGGAUAACAGCGCAAUCCCCUUUUAGAGCCCAUAUCGACAAGGGGGUUUACGACCUCGAUGUUGGAUCAGGACAUCCUAAUGGUGCAGCCGCUAUUAAGGGUUCGUUUGUUCAACGAUUAAAGUCCUACGUGAUC
rnacentral:rRNA from 1 species